AGUGAACGCUGGCGGUAGGCCUAACACAUGCAAGUCGAACGGCAGCACAGGAGAGCUUGCUCUCUGGGUGGCGAGUGGCGGACGGGUGAGGAAUACAUCGGAAUCUACUUUUUCGUGGGGGAUAACGUAGGGAAACUUACGCUAAUACCGCAUACGGCCUACGGGUGAAAGCAGGGGAUCUUCGGACCUUGCGCGAUUGAAUGAGGCGAUGUCGGAUUAGCUAGUUGGCGGGGUAAAGGCCCACGAAGGCGACGAUCCGUAGCUGGUCUGAGAGGAUGAUCAGCCACACUGGAACUGAGACACGGUCCAGACUCCUACGGGAGGCAGCAGUGGGGAAUAUUGGACAAUGGGCGCAAGCCUGAUCCAGCCAUACCGCGUGGGUGAAGAAGGCCUUCGGGUUGUAAAGCCCUUUUGUUGGGAAAGAAAUCCAGCUGGUUAAUACCCGGUUGGGAUGACGGUACCCAAAGAAUAAGCACCGGCUAACUUCGUGCCAGCCGCCGCAGUAA
rnacentral:rRNA from 1 species